rnacentral:rRNA from 1 species
GACGAACGCUGGCGGCGUGCUUAACACAUGCAAGUCGAACGGAAAGGCCCUGCUGUUGUGGGAUGCUCGAGUGGCGAACGGGUGAGUAACACGUGAGUAACCUGCCCUUGACUUUGGGAUAACUUCAGGAAACUGGGGCUAAUACCGGAUAGGAGCUCCUGCUGCAUGGUGGGGGUUGGAAAGUUUCGGCGGUCGGGGAUGGACUCGCGGCUUAUCAGCUUGUUGGUGGGGUAGUGGCUUACCAAGGCUUUGACGGGUAGCCGGCCUGAGAGGGUGACCGGCCACAUUGGGACUGAGAUACGGCCCCGACUCCUACGGGUGGCAGCAGUGGGGAAUAUUGCGCAAUGGGCGGAAGCCUGAUGCAGCAACGCCGCGUGCGGGAUGACGGCCUUCGGGUUGUAAACCGCUUUCGCCUGUGACGAAGCGUGAGUGACGGUAAUGGGUAGAGAAGCACCGGCUAACUACGUG